rnacentral:rRNA from 1 species
AGUGAACGCUGGCGGUAGGCCUAACACAUGCAAGUCGAACGGCAGCGCCGUAAGAGCUUGCUCUUACGGGUGGCGCGUGGCGGACGGGUGAGGAAUACAUCGGAAUCUACUUUUUCGUGUGGGCUAACGUCGGGAAACUUACGCUAGUACCGCAUACGACCUCCGUGUGACAGCACGCGAUCUUUGGACCUUUCGCGAUUGUAUGAGCCGAUGUCGGAUUCGCUAGUUGGCGGGGUAAAGGGCCACCAAGGCGACGCUGCGUAGCUGGUAUGAGAGGGUGGUCAGCCACACUGGAACUGAGACACGGUCCAGACUCCGACGGGGGGCAGCAGUGGGGAAUAUUGGGCAAUGGGGGCAAGCCUGAUCCAGCGAUACCGCGUGGGUGAUGAAGGCCUUCGGGUUGUAAAACCCUGUUGUUGGGAAAGAAAAGCAGUAGGUUCAGACCCGGCUGUUCUGACGGUACCCAAAGAAUAAGCACCGGCUAACUUCGUG